GUGUCAGCCGCCGCGGUAAUACGGAGGGGGCUAGCGUUGUUCGGAAUUACUGGGCGUAAAGCGCGCGUAGGCGGCUUUGUAAGUUAGAGGUGAAAGCCCGGAGCUCAACUCCGGAAUAGCCUUUAAGACUGCAUCGCUAGAACGUUGGAGAGGUAAGUGGAAUUCCGAGUGUAGAGGUGAAAUUCGUAGAUAUUCGGAAGAACACCAGUGGCGAAGGCGACUUACUGGACAACUGUUGACGCUGAGGUGCGAAAGCGUGGGGAGCAAACAGGAUUAGAAACCCGAGUAGUCC
rnacentral:rRNA from 1 species